GAUGAACGCUAGCGGCAAGCCUAAUACAUGCAAGUCGAACGGUGUGUUAGCAAUAACAUAUAGUGGCAAACGGGUGAGUAACGCGUACGUAAUCUGCCUCAUUCUGGGGAAUACACUUUGGAAACAAGGAAUAAUACCCCAUACUAUUCUAUAGCACAUGCUAAUGAAUGAAAGUCACAGCGGAAUGAGAUGAGCGUGCGUCCUAUUAGCUAGUUGGUAGAGUAAAAGCCUACCAAGGCGAUGAUGGGUAGGGGUUCUGAGAGGAAGGUCCCCCACACUGGCACUGAGAUACGGGCCAGACUCCUACGGGAGGGCAGCAGUAAGGAAUAUUGGUCAAUGGGCGAAAGCCUGAACCAGCUAUGCCGCGUGCAGGAUGAAGCCCUUAAAGGGUGUAAACUGCUUUUAUAAGGGAACAAAUAAUCCCUGCGGGGAAAGGUUGAGUGUACCUUAAGAAUAAGCACCGGCUAACUACGUGCCAGCAGCCGCGGUAAU
rnacentral:rRNA from 1 species